rnacentral:misc_RNA from 1 species
GUGGUGUGACAAAUUCCUGCAGCGGAGCGUUAUGAUCGUGCAAAACGUGCGUAAAUUAUUUAUUUUUUUAAACAUACGCGCAAUAAAUUCACGUGUUUCAUUUUUAAUUCAUUCUAUGUUUCAAUACAUUUUACAAAGAAGAAAAAUCGUCUGUUCGGUGAAUGUGUUACGUAUCAAACGCUAGUUUCGAUAAAUCUUAGACAUGCGACGAUGUGCCUGGAAGAGGAAAUGACUUCUACCGACCACUAAAUUCAGUCCAUUCACCAAAUUGAAUUGUACUUUCCUCGGUAUCAUCAGUUCUUCCUUCUUCCUCAAUGACCAAUUCUUGAAAUCUGAUUUCUUCCUCAUCGCUACUAUCCGAAUUUGUGGCAGAGAUUUUAAGUUAAGUGGGAGUCCAGCAGAGUACGCUUGGUACAGCGGCACUCGUGACCUGAAGGAGAUUUCGUUGAAAGCACGAGUGGCAGUCAACGUGUUAAUCGCAGAGAGAUCUGCUACCAGACAAUGCCAGCCUGCGAUACGAACGAACAAGAGGAAUUAAUUAUUAAUUAAUAAACAUUACUUACAAAUAUUGAAAAUCAUGAUAAUCUUCUGAAAGUUUGUCCUCUUGUUACGACUACUGUUUUCUGUAUUGCCUAUUAACAAUAUUACUACGUUUACU